rnacentral:rRNA from 1 species
UACGUAGGGUGCAAGCGUUGUCCGGAAUUAUUGGGCGUAAAGAGCUCGUAGGCGGUUUGUCGCGUCUGCUGUGAAAACUCGGGGCUUAACCCCGGGCCUGCAGUGGGUACGGGCAGACUAGAGUGCGGUAGGGGAGACUGGAAUUCCUAGUGUAGAGGUGAAAUUCUUAGAUAUUAGGAGGAACACCGGUGGCGAAGGCGGUCAUCUGGGUCGCAUCUGACGCUGAGGCGCGAAAGCGUGGGGAGCAAACAGG